rnacentral:rRNA from 1 species
AAAUUGAAGAGUUUGAUCAUGGCUCAGAUUGAACGCUGGCGGCAGGCCUAACACAUGCAAGUCGAACGGUAGCACAGAGAGCUUGCUCUCGGGUGACGAGUGGCGGACGGGUGAGUAAUGUCUGGGAAACUGCCUGAUGGAGGGGGAUAACUACUGGAAACGGUGGCUAAUACCGCAUAACGUCGCAAGACCAAAGAGGGGGACCUUCGGGCCUCUUGCCAUCAGAUGUGCCCAGAUGGGAUUAGCUAGUUGGUGAGGUAACGGCUCACCAAGGCGACGAUCCCUAGCUGGUCUGAGAGGAUGACCAGCCACACUGGAACUGAGACACGGUCCAGACUCCUACGGGAGGCAGCAGUGGGGAAUAUUGCACAAUGGGCGCAAGCCUGAUGCAGCCAUGCCGCGUGUAUGAAGAAGGCCUUCGGGUUGUAAAGUAC